rnacentral:rRNA from 1 species
GAGUUUGAUCGUGGCUCAGGAUGAACGCUGGCGGCGUGCCUAACACAUGCAAGUCGAACGGAGUUCUUAAGGAAUGCGGCUUCGGCCAAAUGACUUUUGAACUUAGUGGCGGACGGGUGAGUAACGCGUGAGCAACCUGCCUUUCAGAGGGGGAUAACAUUUGGAAACAGAUGCUAAUACUGCAUAAGAUUACAGUACCGCAUGAUACAGUGAUCAAAGGAGCAAUCCGCUGGAAGAUGGCUCGCGUCCGAUUAGAUAGUUGGUGAGGUAACGGCUCGCCAAGUCGACGAUCGGUCGCCGGACUGAGAGGUUGAACGGCCACAUUGGGACUGAGACACGGCCCAGACUCCUACGGGAGGCAGCAGUGGGGAAUAUUGCACAAUGGGCGAAAGCCUGAUGCAGCAACGCCGCGUGAGGGAAGACGGUUUCGGAUUGUAAACCUCUGCUUUCGGUGACGAACAAAUGACGGUAACCGAGUAGGAAGCCACGGCUAACUACGUGCCAGCGCCG